GCGCCCGCCGCCUUCUCCCCGCCCGGCCCCUUCCCCCACGGCGCAGUCCUGCAAGGACUGGGGGUGUAGCGCAGGGCUCCCUGUUACCUGCAGGAGGGCGGCGGGGGAGGAGGGCGAGGGUCUUGGCUCUGGUACCCUGUUGGCCCCCCUGUUGACACCAACCACCCCUGCCUGCCUCUAAGGCUGUGGCCACUACACCCACAAUCUUCCGGUGGCCGGGUUUCUCUCACACCAUAGAGACGGGUCCGGAAACGGGACAGAAGGCCCACCUUCCUCCCUCCGACGCCACCAAUGAGGCCAACUAACCAGGAACCGAGGUAGAGCGGCCGCACAGAUAUGCCUCAGUGACCACCUCUUAGUCACAGUGGGACCAAGAUGUUGGACCCAGGACCACAGUGAAGGCUUUGGCCCGCAAGUCCCUCUCUGUCUCGUCCCCCUCGCACUGGUUGAGCAUGUGUGUCCCCCUUCUCAUUGGCCCUGUGAGGCAUGCUGUCAUCUUCUUAUGGAUCUGAGGAGUAGAAAUGAGUCCCUUCAACCAAUACAUGAAAUCUUCUGCAGUCAACACAGCUACUUGCUGACCCACCCUCUUCCCAGUGUCCUCACCUCUGAGUCUUUGCUGGCCUUCCCACCCUGUUCCUUGCUCCCUAAUCUUAUGUCCAGAUGUGCUGAGCUCCAGGGUAUCCUCUAUAAUCAUUCAUCAGCCUAGAGGACUCUGUAUUUCCUUUCAUUUCCCCAAGGUAAACCCACUCUUCCAAAUAUCAAUGAGAAGGGAAUAUUUUGCAGUGAAUGGAGUAAGAGAGAGAUGGGAGGGAGUUUGACACUCAAUGCUUCCCCUCUUCACUAUUCAUCUACUCACCUAUUUGCUCUUGAUGUCACUCAGGUCUCUGAACAAAUGUCACCUGUUCAGACUCUUAAAGAUUCGGGGUAUUGAAGUCACAGGCUAACUUGUAUAUUUUUGUCCAAGAAAGAUGCAAAUCUUUCUGUCCAGUGGAAGAGAUAACCCCAAAGUUUAUUCUUAUUGCACUAGAGAGCAUUUCUCAUUUUAAAAUCUAAUCUAGUAAUCUUACUAUAUUUCUUUAUAAAAUUGCUUGUAAGUAUGUAGCUACACAAAUGCUCUUUGAACAGUCUUAAUGUCUUUUUAGUUUCCUCAUUAACUAAUGUGUUCAUUUUAUAUUUGCAUGAGAGUUAUAAUUAUAUUUUGAAAAUUCUACUUGAAUGCAAUUUAGCAGAGACAGCUCCCCUGAAAACACUGUCUAAAACAGCACCUUACCUGCCUCUUCCUCUCUUUUGACUUUGCCUUAUUUUCCUUAACACCAAUGCACAUAUUUGUUUGUUCAGCAUCUCUGUCCCACAGCUAGAACAUCAGCUCCCUGAAAACAGGGCUUCCUUCCUUCAUUUCUUUCUUUCCUGCCGUAUUUCUAGCACAUAACACAGUGCCUAGAACAUACUAGAUACUCAGUAAAUAUUAAACACACAAAUGAAUUUACUGAGAGCACACUGCAUGUCCCAGUCACCCUCCCUACAUCUCUCUGCCUCCCAGCCCUUACCCCACAGAGCCCUCUAUAGCUCUGGUUCCAGUUCUCAGUUCCCUGGAGCUGCUCUCUCAGCUCCUUCUGCCUUUCUUAUGCAUAGAAAUCUUGUAUUCCCUCACUGAUUCCUCAGUCCUCAUUUUAAAUAUGUGUAAGGCCAGGAAAGAAAAGAAUCUGCAACAACCUGAAUCCGCUGUCCUUAGAAUGUGGCUGGUGGGACAGUUAGAAACAAAUAGUUUGUUUUCUUAAUAGAAAUAAUUUUUUCUUGUCAUACUGUUUAAGGAUCAACCUGAAUUUUACUUUCAACCAAUCCUCUUCUGAAUUCAAGUCAAAACAUGGCAAAUUUAUUGUAUUCAGCUUGACUUUUAGGUGUUUUUUUAAUUAAUCUUUUUCACGUUUCUAACUUAGACUCCCAAGUAGACUGUAAGUAUCUUGGAUAUAUUCCUGGUUGUAUAAAAGCCUUAGCCAUCCAACUUAAUUAUUUUUUCCAACUUGAUUUGAACUAACUUUUUACAAGCUCUACCUGAAAACCAAGGAGAGUAAAAGUUAUUCAGGUGAUUUCUAUUUAAUGUUCUACCUCAAUAAUUUGUGUAAUUGCAUAAUUGCAAUUAGAAUCUGGAAGUGUAAAGGGGGAAACUUGCAUUAAGGACAAACCCUCCUUCAGGCACCUUUCAGAUAAAUACAUAUAGCAUCCAUAGGUAGUGGAUACCUUAUAGAAAACUGACCUUGACCUAAGCCACUUUGCUCUCUCAUUGUUUUUAGGAACUUUGCAUAGAUAUUGGAAGAUUUCUCUAAUGAGAAGUAUGUGUUUUCUAAGUUCCACCAUAAGCUUGCUACCACUACAAAGAGAGAAUGAAAGCAAGUCUGAGGUGGGAUUCUACAUAUUCACACGUUUAUUAGCAAGGUUUAAAGACAGACAGUAGAGCUGUUAUACAAACUCAGUGAGGUUCCACUUCCUUGUUUAGGAGCUUGAAUAGCAUCUUGCAUGAAAGGUCCAUCCGCUGCAGGAAGAUGGGACAGUAUUCUAAUAGCAGACUCAGCUAUCCUAAUUAGAGUUGGGUGACAAAAUCUUUUUGUCAUCUUCUCCAUAUGGGGCUGGUUUGAAAUCCUAAAUCUAGGGCACCUUUCCAAAGUGUGUAGAUUACUAGACUCACUAGAUUCUCAUACUCUGAUCAUGUAAGGCAUGGCAACAUUUCUAUUCAUUCUGUCCAUCUUGAAAUUAUUUUGGCCAUGAGAAUUCACUUUUAAACAUCCUUAAAGCCACUAGUAUUGAUCUGAGUUAGAGAUAGUUGAAGUGCUUGUAGUAUCUGCCCUGGGAGUAUAGACUUCUCAUUGAAAUCUUUCAGAUGCUAAAACCCUCUGAAGGUGAAUUGCUUCUCAACUUCAAAGCGCCAUGAAUCAUCUUGGAAUCGUGCUUCUGGGAGACAGAUUUGGGGCAAACAAUGUGUGCAUUAUAUAUCUACAUCUUCUUUAAAACUUUAAAAUACUUCAGCCUUCAGGGAGAUACAGAUGUGUACUAACUUAGAUCUGUCCUGUAGGGGUGGUUAAUUAAUAUUGGAAGGCAACAUGAGCAUCCUCUGGAAGCAUGUUAAAAAUGCAAAAGCUGAGGCCUCACACUAGAUUGUCAAGUCAAAAUCUACAUUUUAACAGGAUCUUUAGGUGAUUUGCAGGCACCUACCUUGCAGGAAGGUUUGAGAACUGCCCUAAAUGAUCUAAGGCCUCCCUCCUUUGGCCUCACUGCUAUCCUCCUGCUCACUUACUCAGGUCCACGCUCAGUGGCCUCCUUGCUGUCCUGUCAGCAUGCCAGGUGAGCUCUUGCUUUAGGACUUUUGCUCUAGCGCUUCCUUUUGCCUGCCAUUCUCUUUUCCCACAUGUCCAUUUGACUAAGUCUCUUACUUCUAUUUUUUGUUCAGAUCUCAUCUUCUCAAUGAAGUCUGUUCUGAUCCACCCUAUCUAAUUCUACAACUUUUACCUUCCUUCCUGCUACACUCCUGGUGCUUCCUAUCCUGUUUUCUUUUGCUUUUUCCCUCCAUAGCACUGACCGUCUUAUAAACAGCCAUAUACUGUAUUUUCUAGAUUGUAAAAACUAUAGUUUUUCACAUUUUAACAUCCCUGAAGGUCAGAAUGCAUUUUACCACAAAUGGCAUAAUAUAAUUUGUCAAUAAUUUUUUCUUAGUUGUACCAAAUAUAUUGAUGCUUCCUAAAUGUGGUGGCAUCAUAUAUUUGAUGAAAUAUGGCAAUUUGCUUAUGUAUUAUGGCUUUUGGUUUUGAGAGAAAAAAAUUAUCUGAAACUUUAAAAUAGGCAAAAGAGGUUACUGUGGCUUUCUUCCCAUGCAAUUCUGGAUUAAGUUCCUAUUGACUAGGUUAUUUUACUACUUCUUUAUUCCCUUUUUAGGGGCAGAGGCUAACUUUUUCAUUUUCACGCACUAGAGAUGUAAAUAAGUUUGUCCAGCACAGCAAAUCAUCUUAAUGGUUACAGUUUAUUGUCCUGUAAGUCAUUAACCCAGCAACCUGAACCUGACAUGUCUUUAUCAAAUUGCCUACAUAUACACCUAUCUUCUCAGCUGCUAUUUGGACUAGUUUAAAAUCUUACUGAUUCCCUCAUUAAUAAAAACUUUAAAUAGA